rnacentral:rRNA from 1 species
CGCAUCUGUGCAUGCAGCAUAUCAAUAAGCGGAGGAAAAGAAACUAACAAGGAUUCCCUUAGUAACGGCGAGUGAAGCGGGAAGAGCUCAAAUUUGAAAUCUUCAAGGUUUUACCUUGACGAAUUGUAGUUUAAAGAAGUGUUUUCUGUUGAAGUUUUGGUAAAAGUUCUUUGGAAUAGGACAUCAUAGAGGGUGAGAAUCCCGUAUUUGACCAUUAUUUUCAGCUGUGUGAUACACUUUCAAAGAGUCGGAUUGUUUGGGAAUGCAGUCCAAAAUGGGUGGUAAAUUUCAUCUAAAGCUAAGUAUUGGCGAGAGACCGAUAGCGAACAAGUACCGUGAGGGAAAGAUGAAAAGAACUUUGAAAAGAGAGUUAAACAGUACGUGAAAUUGUCAAAAGGGAAGCGUUUGACACCAGUGUUGUCUUCUCGAAAAUCAAUUAAAAAGAGUUAGAUUUUGUUGUGUAUUGACCUUAACAGCUUGCAUUUCAAUUUUCUUGCUUUUUUUAAUGCACUUUUCGUUUAACAAGUCAACAUCAGUUUCUUUUGUUGUAAAAAGGUCAUUGGAAGGUGGCUUUCUUUUCGGAGAAAGUGUUUAUAGCCUUUGACUCCUGCAAUCGGAGAGACUGAGGUCUGCAGCGUAGAUCCUUCGGGGUUAGAUACAUUUGUGCUAAGUUAUAGCUUUUUAUAGACAACUUGUUGACUAUGAUUAGUCUUGUAGCUUACUCGCUUAUGCUAUUUUACCUACGCUUAGGAUGUUGACACACGCGCGUGCUCG